UCUACGCUUACCCUGGCAGAACCACUGC
rnacentral:sRNA from 1 species